rnacentral:rRNA from 1 species
GGACAUCGUGAGGUUAGUGCAAUGGCAUAAGCUAGCUUAACUAGCGAGACGGACAGGUCGAGCAGGUACGAAAGUAGGUCAUAGUGAUCCGGUGGUUCUGCAUGGAAGGGCCAUCGCUCAACGGAUAAAAGGUACUCCGGGGAUAACAGGCUGAUACCGCCCAAGAGUUCAUAUCGACGGCGGUGUUUGGCACCUCGAUGUCGGCUCAUCACAUCCUGGGGCUGAAGUUGGUCCCAAGGGUAUGGCUGUUCGCCAUUUAAAGUGGUACGCGAGCUGGGUUCAGAACGUCGUGAGACAGUUCGGUCCCUAUCUGCCGUGGGCGUUGGAUGAUUGAAGGGAGUUGCUCCUAGUACGAGAGGACCGGAGUGAACGAACCUCUGGUGUUCGGGUUGUCAUGCCAAUGGCACUGCCCGGUAGCUAAGUUCGGAAUCGAUAACCGCUGAAAGCAUCUAAGCGGGAAGCGAGCCCUGAGAUGAGUCAUCCCUGACCCCUUGAGGGUCCUAAAGGG